CCUACGGGUGGCAGCAGUGCGGAAUAUUGGUCAAUGGCCGUAAGGCUGCACCAGCCAAGUCGCGUGAAGGAAGAAGGAUCUAUGGUUUGUAAACUUCUUUUAUAGGGGAAUAAAGGUAUCCACGUGUGGAUAUUUGCAUGUACCCUAUGACUAAGCAUCGGCUAACUCCGUGCCAGCAGCCGCGGUAAUACGGAGGAUGCGAGCGUUAUCCGGAUUUAUUGGGUUUAAAGGGUGCGGAGGUUGUUUUUUAAGUCAGCGGUGAAAGUUUGUGGCUCAACCAUAAAAUUACCUUUGAAACUGGAAGUCUUGAGUGUGUUUGAGGUAGGCGGAAUGCGUGGUGUAGCGGGGAAAGGCAUAGAUAUCACGCAUAACGCCGAUGGCGAAGGCAGCUUACUAAGCCAUAACUGACACUGAAGCACGAAAGCGUGGGGAUCAAACAGGAUUAGAUACCCCAGUAGC
rnacentral:rRNA from 1 species